rnacentral:rRNA from 1 species
AACGAACGCUGGCGGCGUGCCUAACACAUGCAAGUCGAACGAGAAAGGGGCUUCGGCUCCGAGUAAAGUGGCGCACGGGUGAGUAACACGUGGGUAACCUGCCUCUAAGAUUGGGAUAACUCGUCGAAAGAUGAGCUAAUACCGAAUAAGACCACAGUUCCCGCGGGAACAGGGGUCAAAGGUAGCCUCUGCUUGCAAGCUAUCACUUAGAGAUGGGCCUGCGCACCAUUAGCUAGUUGGUAGGGUAACGGCCUACCAAGGCAAAGAUGGUUAGCUGGUCUGAGAGGAUGAUCAGCCACACUGGAACGGAGACACGGUCCAGACGCCUACGGGAGGCAGCAGUGGGGAAUAUUGCGCAAUGGGCGAAAGCUUGACGCAGCAACGCCGCGUGAGUGAUGAAGGCCGUCGGGUCGUAAAGCUCUGUCGGGAGGAACGAAUGCUCCUGAGGUUAACAGCCUCGGGAGGUGACGGUACCUUCAAAGGAAGCACCGGCUAACUCUGUG